GGGAAGGUGGCUCAGUGGUAGAGCGCUUGCCUUGCAUGCAUGAAGCCCUGGGUUCGAUUCCUCACCACCACA
rnacentral:tRNA from 1 species